GCGGGCGUGGCGAAAUGGUAGACGCGGCGGAUUCAAAAUCCGCAGUCGAGAGACGUGUCGGUUCGAGUCCGACCGCCCGCACCA
rnacentral:tRNA from 1 species